rnacentral:rRNA from 1 species
GUGCGUAGGUGGUUCUGUGUGUCGGAUGUGAAAUCCCACGGCUCAACUGUGGAACUGCAUCCGAAACUACAGAACUAGAGUGCAGGAGGGGAGAGCGGAAUUCUUGGUGUAGCGGUGAAAUGCGUUGAUAUCAAGAAGAACACCGGUGGCGAAGGCGGCUCUCUGGAAUGCAACUGACACUGAGGCACGAAAGCUAGGGGAGCGAACA